CCCUGAUGCUGGUCACAUAAUUGUGAUUUGCCCAUUUCAUCCCAUGCACUUUAAUUUUCCUUCUGCUGCAUUCUUAAUUCUUUAUCAAUCUUUCUGCCCACCUUAUGCUUCUCUGCCUUAUUUCUUUCAGCUCUUGGCCCAGUGAGGCAGCCAAAGUACUGGAAAUGAAACAGCAACUCCAAAUCAUUAUUUCAAAUUGCAUUGCAAAGCCUCCAUCCCUGCCUAAUGCCACAGAUUGGCAGGAAUUCACCGCCAAAGAGAGCCAGACAAAAUCUCCCUAAAGACGAUUACAUGGGUCCCCCAACCCACCCUUCUGGAAGGACCGCUAUGAAAGCAGCAGAGUAUGGAAGAGUCACAGGAGAAUCGCUCAAAAGUCCAAAACCCUACAAAAGCCAAGGCUGCACUUUCUCUGGGACAGAACUUUGGGAUCCACACUUGGGGAUGCCCAAAAGGAAGGAGCCAAGAUUAGCCAGGCUGGCACCUGGAGAGAGAAUGGCCUCAGAGAGUUGUCCUAAAGCUUCUAGAUUUCUUACAAUUACAUGACGUUUGCUUCUGUGCCUGGUGACCUGGCCUUUCCUACCCUCUUAACCUCAUCCUCCUCUUUCCAUCACAGAACGCUUAAUGUCCAGGAGUGCAGAAUUACCCAAAGUUUCCCCAAGUGUUAUGCUCUCACACCAGUGUGCUGUUAGCAUCUUCCUUGAUUAGAAGUCAACCCCCACCCUACCCCUCACAUGCCCAGCCCCAUGAGGAUGACACUUUUUUCUACAAGGCUUACCUAAAAGUAACCUUCUCCUCGAAAAGAUCCUUGACUGCCCUGCAACUCAGGCUAAGCCCAGCUUAGUUACUCCCCUCUCAACCCCUGGGCAUGCUGACAUCAGCAUUAACCACACCGUCAGGUGGCCUGGCCCCCUACGCAGCAAGUUCUCUGACAGCAGGACUCCUAGCAUGCACCUUGCUGCUGAUACCAAUGGGUGCUCACUCCAGGCUUGCUGAAUUAUCUCAACCAUCUGGUUAUGACCAUAAGUGAAAGGAACUCUGAAAACCCAGGUUGUGGGUUUGUGGCAAAAAGCACCCUCUAACAACAAGAGUUUCAUAUAGUGGGAAGUGGGGUGCUGGAAAAAGGCUGUUUUGGGGCCCGGAUGGCAGAUGCCCAGACAGCCUUCCACCCCGUGACUCUUCCCUAGGGCCAUUCUCUCCCUCGUCCCCUGGCUGGCUGCUUCAGCUUCCCCGCUCUGCACUGAGAGAGGCAGCACUGAGUGCAGUUGGCAGGUGAGCUGACACCAGGGAUCCCACAGCCACUUCCCGCAUCCAAAGGAAAGAGAGUUCCCAAGGGUCGAAGGGAUGGGAAGUUCUUGCAGAAGAUAAACCAGCUGGUACCUCAGACAUAUUCCUUCAUUCUGAUUCUUGACUGGUUUAAUCUCGACUGGGAAAUGGACUUUCUCUUUAUAAAGGUGGCCUGUUUGGAACCUCUUUAGAGGAAGGGCUCAUGGGGAGAAGCCAGGUUAAUGAGACUUUUCAUUUGGUGAUCUCUGAUUGAAAGCACUGUUUCUAAGUUACCUAGUUAUCUGGCAGGAUUUUGUCUCUGAAAAAUCCUAGGAAUUGUGAUAGCUCAGGGUAACCCUUGUGCUAAGAGCAGAU
rnacentral:lncRNA from 1 species